rnacentral:lncRNA from 1 species
CUGUAGCAGACCUCUGUGGAAUAAGCUCUCAGUGAGUGAUGCAGCCUAAAUGCAUUAAAUGUUUGGAGGAGAGGAAGCAGGAGGAAGUCUGGAAACCUGCACAGAGCCAGCGCACAGGAGAGAAGCAAAGUGAACUGAUUUCAAAAUCUGAAUGAGCUUGGGAAAGAUUUGUCACUGUUCAUCCAGCUCUUGAUGUGAACCAGGGUGACAGUCGGUGCUGUUGGUGGGGUCAUGAGGGAAGGUCCCAGCUGCUGACCCUUGCUGCGCUUGGUCUUUCAGUGCAGAGCAGCUCCUGAGCACAGAUGCUGGAGGAGUGCACCCAACCACUACUUGCUGCUCUGUCCAUGGGACCAACUAGAGCUACAUGACCAUAAAACAGCCAAAAUAGGUACUGGGCUCUCAGCACAGCUGGUUCACUCCAUUGAUCUGCUUCUGUUGAGUUGCAAUGCUCGCUAAUGGAAUUGUAGUCAAAAUCUAUUUGGGAUACCGAUGCUAGGUAUGUUUUAUGCACUGCUAAGUCAUGACAAAUAACGUGAGAUCUUACGUCAUACUUGUGUGUCUGACCCAGACUAGGUCUUUGGUUUCUUCAAACAGAUAUG